AACGUACGCUGGCGGCACGCCUAACACAUGCAAGUCGAACGAAGUAUCAAUACUUAGUGGCAGACGGGUGAGUAACAUGUAGGUAUCUGCCCUUUGGCCUGGAAUAACACGAGGAAACUUGUGCUAAUACCGGAUAAGUCUUUACGGAGAAAGCUUUAUGCGCCAUUGGAUGAGCCUGCACUUGAUUAGUUUGUUGGUGGGGUAAUGGCCUACCAAGACUGUGAUCAAUAGCUGAUUUGAGAGGAUGAUCAGCCACGUUGGGACUGAGACACGGCCCAAACUCCUACGGGAGGCAGCAGUGGGGAAUCUUGCACAAUGGAGGAAACUCUGAUGCAGCGAUGCCGCGUGAGUGAAGAAGGCCCUUGGGUUGUAAAGCUCUUUCGUCGGGGAAGAAAAUGACUGUACCCGAAUAAGAAGGUCCGGCUAACUUCGUGCCAGCAGCCGCGGUAAUACGAAGGGACCUAGCGUAGUUCGGAAUUACUGGGCUUAAAGAGUUCGUAGGUGGUUGAAAAAGUUAGUGGUGAAAUCCCAGAGCUUAACUCUGGAACUGCCAUUAAAACUUUUCAGCUAGAGUAUGAUAGAGGAAAGCAGAAUUUCUAGUGUAGAGGUGAAAUUCGUAGAUAUUAGAAAGAAUACCAAUUGCGAAGGCAGCUUUCUGGAUCAUUACUGACACUGAGGAACGAAAGCAUGGGUAGCGAAGAGGAUUAGAUACCCUCGUAGUCCAUGCCGUAAACGAUGUGUGUUAGACGUUGGAAAUUUAUUUUCAGUGUCGCAGGGAAACCGAUAAACACACCGCCUGGGGAGUACGACCGCAAGGUUAAAACUCAAAUGAAUUGACGGGGACCCGCACAAGUAGUGGAGCAUGUGGUUUAAUUCGAAGAUACGCGCAGAACCUUACCAACACUUGACAUGUUCGUCGCGACUCUAAGAGAUUAGAGUUUUCGGUUCGGCCGGACGAAACACAGGUGCUGCAUGGCUGUCGUCAGCUCGUGUCGUGAGAUGUUGGGUUAAGUCCCGCAACGAGCGCAACCCUCACUUUUAGUUGCCAUCAUUAAGUUGGGCACUCUGAAAGAACUGCCAGUGAUAAGCUGGAGGAAGGUGGGGAUGACGUCAAGUCCUCAUGGCCCUUACGUGUUGGGCUACACACGUGCUACAAUGGUAUCUACAACAGGAAGCAAGACUGCGAAGUUAAGCAAAUCCCUAAAAGAUACCUCAGUUCGGAUUGCACUCUGCAACUCGAGUGCAUGAAGCUGGAAUUACUAGUAAUCGUGGAUCAGCGUGCCACGGUGAAUGCGUUCCCGGGUCU
rnacentral:rRNA from 1 species